rnacentral:rRNA from 1 species
AGGGAUCAUUACCGAGUUCUUACAGAACCCAACCCUUGUGUGAUAAGCUCUCACCCAGCUUUUACACGGGAGUCUCGGCCUAAUCGCCGAGGCAGUGUAAAAAAACAAAACCUCUGUAUCAUUAUCACAAAUUUCUGAAGACUUUUUAAAAGAGUCAAAACUUUCAACAACGGAUCUCUUGGUUCUGGCAUCGAUGAAGAACGCAGCGAAAUGCGAUACGUAAUGUGAAUUGCAGAAUUCAGUGAAUCAUCGAAUCUUUGAACGCACAUUGCGCCCGCCAGUAUUCUGGCGGGCAUGCCUGUCCGAGCGUCAUUUCAACCCAUCAAGCCUAGCGCUUGUGUUGGAGCCCUGCGGCCGCCGCAGCCUCCUAAAAUCAGUGGCGGGCUCGCUAUCACGCUGAGUGCAGUAGUAUUCUUCUCACUCCUGUUGUGUAGCGGGUAACCAGCCGUAAAAAACCCCCAUAUCCAAAAGGUUGACCUCGGAUCAGGUAGGAAUACCCGCUGAACUUAAGCAUAUCAAUAAGCGGAGGAAAAGAAACCAACAGGGAUUGCCCUAGUAACGGCGAGUGAAGCGGCAACAGCUCAAAUUUGAAAUCUGGCAACAGCCCGAGUUGUAAUUUGCAGAGGAAGCUUCUGGUGAUGCACUGUCUAAGUCCCCUGGAACGGGGCGCCACAGCGGGUGAGAGCCCCAUGUGAUGGCUGCUGACCCAGUGUGAAGCUCCUUCGACGAGUCGAGUAGUUUGGGAAUGCUGCUCAAAAUGGGAGGUAAAUUCCUUCUAAAGCUAAAUAUUGGCCAGAGACCGAUAGCGCACAAGUAGAGUGAUCGAAAGAUGAAAAGCACUUUGAAAAGAGGGUUAAACAGCACGUGAAAUUGUUGAAAGGGAAGCGCUCAUGACCAGACUUGCGCUGGGCUGAUCAUCCGGUGUUCUCACCGGUGCACUCUGCCCGGCACAGGCCAGCAUNNGGNNNNNNCGGGGGGAUAAAGGCGCUGGGAACGUAGCUCCCNNNNNNUGUUAUAGCCCAGCGUGCAAUACCCCCGCUGGGACCGAGGUCCGCGCA